rnacentral:rRNA from 1 species
AAUGAACGCUGGCGGCGCGCCUAAUACAUGCAAGUCGAGCGAGAAGACGUAGCAAUACGUUUGUAAAGCGGCGAACGGGUGAGGAAUACAUGGGUAACCUACCCUCGAGUGGGGAAUAACUAGCCGAAAGGUUAGCUAAUACCGCGUACGCUUCUUGGACUUCGGUUCAGGGAGGAAAGCGAUGCCGAGGGUAUCGCGCUCUUGGAUGGGCUCAUGUCCUAUCAGCUUGUUGGGAGGUAACGGCUCACCAAGGCUUCGACGGGUAGCUGGUCUGAGAGGACGAUCAGCCACACUGGCACUGCGACACGGGCCAGACUCCUACGGGAGGCAGCAGUAAGGAAUAUUGGACAAUGGGGGCAACCCUGAUCCAGCCAUGCCGCGUGAGUGAAGAAGGCC